rnacentral:rRNA from 1 species
UCCAGACUCCUACGGGAGGCAGCAGUGGGGGAUAUUGCACAAUGGGGGAAACCCUGAUGCAGCGACGCCGCGUGUGGGAAGACGGUCUUCUGGAUUGUAAACCACUGUCCCCAGGGACGAAAAUGACGGUACCUGGGGAGGAAGCCCCGGCUAACUACGUGCCAGCAGCCGCGGUAAUACGUAGGGGGCGAGCGUUGUCCGGAAUUACUGGGCGUAAAGAGAGCGUAGGCGGCACUACAAGUCUCAUGUGAAAUACCCGGGCUUAACUUGGGGGUUGCAUGGGAAACUGUAGAGCUUGAGUACAGGAGAGGCAAGCGGAAUUCCUAGUGUAGCGGUGAAAUGCAUAGAUAUUAGGAGGAACACCAGUGGCGAAGGCGGCUUGCUGGACUGAAACUGACGCUGAGGCUCGAAAGCGUGGGGAGCAAACAGGAUUAGAUACCCUGGUACUC